CACGUAGGGCGCGAGCGUUGUCCGGAAUUAUUGGGCGUAAAGAGCUCGUAGGCGGCCUGUUGCGUCCGCUGUGAAAGCCCCGGGGCUUAGCCCCGGGUCUGCAGUGGAUACGGGCAGGCUAGAGGUAGGUAGGGGAGAAUGGAAUUCCCGGUGUAGCGGUGAAAUGCGCAGAUAAUCGGGAGGAACACCGGUGGCGAAGGCGGGUUCUCUGGGCC
rnacentral:rRNA from 1 species